CGUCGUGCCUUGGGACCUAAAUUAGGAGGCCUGGGCAAUAUAAGAAAGGAAUUACAGCUUCGUGCAAGAGCAAGAUUAGGGGAGGUGUCCUCCAGACCCCGCCCACGGGCAGGGAUACUAGUGAGGCAAGGCAGAGCGCCACGCAGGUGCGGUGCCAGGCGGGAAGACCUCCCCCAGAAGGCACCACGCCCACCCAGAGGAUGUCGGGAAGGAUGGCUUUGCUCCUGUAGACGCGACUGCUUCAUAGCUGACCUGCGACGGCUUUCCCCUGGGUACUGAGUCACAAGUGUACACCAUUUUGUUGUCUGUACCCAGCGUUUCUCAUGAUGUACUCUGCGCAAUGGCACAGGAGAAGCCGAAAGGAGCUACCCUAUGCCCAAGACUAUCCUACUGGAGGUGUCCUGCAAGGACCUGAAAGGCUCCAAGGAGUGAUCUGGGCCGGAGAUACGGAUGAAAGGCGUCAUUAUCAUGCAGAAGUCUGCAGGGUUGUAGUUCCUGUUGCUUCUGAUGUCUGCCCCUUUUUGGGUGAAGUUGGCCCAGGGGCUUGUACACGCC
ensembl:lncRNA